AGGUACAAGAUCAAGAUGUCUAUCUCUAUAUUCCCUUCCUCGGUUUCUGUUGCUGAAUUUCUCCAGUUAUGACUUGUGGCCUAAUUUUGCUGAUGGCGGGUCAAAUUUGUCGUGAGAAAGGGAAGCCUCUAUGAGGCAGCACAUUGUUGUAGACAAGCUUUAGCAGCCGUUGUCUGGUGGGGCAUUUGCAUUGUACUCUCUGAUAUGCAAACAAGCAUGUAAAGCUCUGUCUUCUUCCAAACCAAUUGUCAUCUGAUGCUCAAGUUCAACUGAAGGUCCACCUCCACAGCUUGGGAUGUCAAUAACGAUUAAAGAAUGGAAGUAUAUAAGCUUCAUUGUCACUAAAAAGGAUGUUCUCGUGUUUGUUCUUAUUGGUACUUCUAUGUUUUGACAUAAGUGUCCACUGUCUUUUGAUGUCAUUGUUGAAUUUCUCCAAGAUAGUAAGGGUUCAUCUAGAUUGUCAUAUAGGAUUU